rnacentral:lncRNA from 1 species
CUCUUUUCCUGGUGCUGUCUCUUUGUUCUCCUGGAGCUUACCUGAACGGGAAUUCACCACCAGGGUUUUGAAUCUCCUGGUUCAUAUUUGCUGUUCUGUUGUUCUUGGUCGUGGCAGUAAUUCAAAGUCUCAAGUAUGCAAAAACCAGUUGGAAAUGUUUUAAAAGGGCAGCCAAGUAGGCAUUUCUCUUCCAAAUAACAAGCUUGAUUCCACUGUUGGAUUUUUAAAAAACUUUUAUUUAUCUUCACCAAUUAUUUAACUUUGAUUUUCAUGCCUUCUCACUGAAUAAAUAUUCCUAAAUAGGUUAAAAUAACAGAGAAAUGAAAUCAUCUAAAGACAUUAGUCACACAGUGUGCUCUGGUGAUAAGACUCCUGGACUGCAUGAGGAAAAAGUGUUGCUUCUGGCCCUGCCAUGAAGUUGUUGUGUGAUCGUGGAAGCCGUUCACCAUCUCUGGACCUGUUCCUUCCCCUGUCAAAUUAAAUGGGGAGGGCUCUCAGGUGGGCAAUUACUAUUUUUUUGAUGUUCACUUUCUAUCUCCUUUUUCUUUUGGUAAUGAGACCCUGUAUUUCCUUUGGGGAACCACCCCUCUUCUACAGUCAGUCAUUUAGUUCAGCUGGGGGACCACCAUGAGCUUGAGAUGUGGGAUCCCCUCUGUGACAGUGGGAGUUGGAAAGGAUGCUUCUCAUAGCAUGAAAGGAUAACUAGAAACAACAUUUUUAUGAAAGUAAAAAUGGCUAGCAAGUCAAACUAUUUCUUAUCUCCUGUAUUAGUCAGCGACUGCUGCGUAACAAAUUACUAUGAACUUAGCAGCCAGAACAACACACACUUAUUAUCUCAGUGUUUCUGCAGGUCAGAAGCCUGGGCAUGGCUCAUCUGGGUUCUGAGCUUCAGCAUCUCACUAGGCUGAAGUCAAUGUGUUGACUCAGCUGCAGUGUCAUCAGAGACUCAACCAGGGAAGGAUCCACUCCCAAGCUCCCUCAGCUUGUUGGCAGAAUUCAUUUCCUUCUUCUUGCAGGGUUGAGGCUUUGCAUUCUUGCUGAAGCUGCUCUCAGCAAUGGCAGUUUGCCUGCAGUUCCUUGCCAUAUGGGCUUCUUCACCAUGGCCACUUACUUCAUGUCAGAUUUUUCAAGGCCAGUAAGGGAGAGUACAGUAUGUCUGCUCCUAAGAGGGAGACUUAUAUAUAUGGUAACUUAAUCAUAAAGGGACAUCCCAUUAUCUCUGCCAUAUCCUGUUAGUUACAAGUAAGUCCCAGGUCCUGCCCACACUCAAGGGGAGGAGAGUACCCAGAGGCAUGAUCCCAGAAGGUGGGUGUCUUUGGGGGUCACUUUGGGUCUUUCCACUACAUUCUCCAUUGAACCUUCUAUGUGGAAAGACUGACUUGACAUGUCAAUGAAUAUUUAAUGCCUUCUCCAUUCCAUUUGGUAAGUGUCUCCAAGUCUUGGACUGACACUGCCCUUAUUGUACAUACUGUUCAAUGGUUUUAUCUUGAGUUCCU